rnacentral:rRNA from 1 species
UACGUAGGGUGCAAGCGUUGUCCGGAAUUAUUGGGCGUAAAGAGCUCGUAGGCGGUUUGUCGCGUCUGCUGUGAAAACCCGAGGCUCAACCUCGGGCCUGCAGUGGGUACGGGCAGACUGGAGUGCGGUAGGGGAGAUUGGAAUUCCUGGUGUAGCGGUGGAAUGCGCAGAUACCAGGAGGAACACCAAUGGCGAAGGCAGAUCUCUGGGCCGUAGCUGACGCUGAGGAGCGAAAGCAUGGGGAGCGAACAGG